AGUGAACGCUGGCGGUAGGCCUAACACAUGCAAGUCGAACGGCAGCACAGUAAGAGCUUGUUCUUACGGAUUGCGAGUGGCGGGCGGGUGAGGAAUACAUCGGAAUCUACUUUUUCGUGGGGGAGAACGUAGGGAAACUUACGCUAAUACCGCAUACGACCUACGGGUGAAAGCAGGGGAUCUUCGGACCUUGCGCGAUUGAAUGAGCCGAUGUCGGAUUAGUUAGUGGGCGGGGUAAAGGCCCACCAAGGCAACGAUCCGUAGCUGGUCUGAGAGGAUGGUCAGCCACACUGGAAGUGAGACACGGUCCAGACUCCUACGGGAGGCAGCAGUGGGGAAUAUUGGACAAAGGUCGCAAGCCUGAUCCAGCCAUACCGCGUGGGUGACGAAGGCGUCCGGGUUGUAAAGCCCUUUUGUUGGGAAAGAAAAGCUGCAGGUUAAUACCCAGCUGUUCUGACGGUACCCAAAGAAUAAGCACCGGCUAACUUCGUG
rnacentral:rRNA from 1 species